rnacentral:lncRNA from 1 species
UCGCCGCCGCGGUCGUCGCCGUCGCCGUGCGUUCGCGCGAAGCCCUCGCGCCCGCUUCGCCUAGCUCGCGCUAGCCCACGCCGUCGUCGCUCUCCGUUGUCGUCGCCGCCGUGAGCCACCACCGGUCGCCGCCCGAGCUACCGCCGCCCCUCUCCGCCGUUCCUCGCGCCCGAACCGCCGCCGAGCAGCCUCCGUCGGCCUCAACCAGAAGCUGCAGAAAAUGGGUAUGGCAGCCCCUUCUUGGCCCGUUUCGGCCGCCUUCCCGAGCCCGGAUGCUCGGCCCGCUUUGAGGAAAGUUGUUCUCCUCGGCGUCCCCGUCGUUUUGGUCCGCUCGGCUCGCUAAUCCGGUGAGUUUAACUCACUAAAUCUUGAUUAGAGUGUUAAUGAUGCCUUAAGUGUGCUUAGUUUAAAUUAAGUAAGUUUAUGUGGGUGGAUUAGGGUAUUUAAUUAUAAAUUGGAUUAAGAGGUUGGUUUAUGUUAAAGUGUGUUUAAAUUAAAGGUUAAAAGAAGUUAUUUAAAGUUAAGCCUUGAUGUGACAUAAAAAUGAUUUUAGUUUUGAAUUAUUUAAGUGCUUCGAAAUUCUGGAAAAUAUAAUAUUAUUUUAUAAUCCGAAAUUAUUAAAAUAUUAUUAAAAAAAAAUGAAAAAAAUUAUUUUUGACCCCGGUUGCUCAGAAUUUCGUGCCGAUCGCUGCUGUGUAUUCGGAUUUUGAAAUUGAUGGUUGGAUAUCAUAAAUUGACGGUGGAUUACGAAAAAUAUGGAUAUUAUUAUUUAAUUAAUUUUCGGAAUAAAAUUUAUUAUUUAUUAAAAUUCAAAAAUUUCAUCGGGACCCUAAACUCUCAGAAUUUCGUGCUGAUCGCUGCUGUGUAUUUAGAAUUUGAAUUUGAUGAUUGAUUGUGACAAAUUGAGUGUUGAUUGUGAUAAAUAUGGAUUUUAUUCAUAAAAUUCCAAGUGUCGAGUUCGGCAUUGAAAUUGGAUUGUUAAUGGCUAAUAUCAUAAUUGGAUUAUGUGAGUGAAACGUAAAGUAUCCAAGGAUCGAUAUCGAAUUGUCGUGUGCUAGUUGAAAGGCUCGGGUCGCAGUAGUGGCUAGGCCGACUGGAUCCUUAUUCUUCUAGAAAUGCUGUCGAUAGAACGACGUGGCUUGGUCGCAGUAGUGGCGAGACCGACUGGACCUUUAUUUUUCUAGAAAUGCUGUCGAUAGAACGACGUGGCAUGGUCGCAGUAGUGGCGAGAUCGACUGGACCUUUAUUUUUCUAGAAAUGCUGUCGAUAGAACGACGUGGCUUGGUCGCAGUAGUGGCGAGACCGACUGGACCUUUAUUCUUCUAGAAAUGCUGUCAAGAGAAUGACGUGGCUUGGUCGUAGUAGUGGCGAGACCGACUGGACCUUUUAUUCUCCUAGAAAUGCCGUCGAUAGAAUGACGUAGCUUGGUCGCAGUAGUGGCGGGACCGACUGGACCUUUAUUCUUCUUGAAAUGCCGUGAUGUUAAUAGAUAGCCGACCUGUGAGUAGACUAUGCCCUCAUGUGGCAGUGAAUAAUAAUUGGAAUGCGUGCUAAGUGCGAUCGUGAUUUAUAUGAAAGUGAUGGCGUUCCAAUUGUUUGAAUUAUUAUUACUACCUGAGAUUAUGUGAUACAAAUUGUGCUAACCUGCAGAAAGGAAUUGAGGCGAGGUAAGUCCCCUGUGUGAUGUGGCUAGGCUACCCUUGGGCGUAUUUUCUUUCUAAUAGGGGUUUAGGGGAUUGAACUUGCUGAGACGUUGUCUCAGUGGUUAUUGAAUAACCAUUUCAGGUCCCUGGUGGACGGAGCGGCCAGAUAGCUUUGGUUGGCCUUGAGGAGAUGGAGAGGUGAAGUCAUAAGGAUUGGAGAUCGUGUACGACUUGUAGGUCGUAGGACAAUUCAUUUUUAAGAGCCAGUCUUUUGUAGACUUUUGGUCGUAGACCUUUGUUUGUAAUUCUGUUGAAUUAUGGAAGUGUUAUGUUGUGGUUUUGUUUUCUGCUUUUCUAUCCCGUAUUUUAUUGUCAAAGGUUUUAUAAUACGUUCCGCUUGCGCAUAAUAAUUAUAAUAAAAAAAAAUUGGGGUCGGCGACACUACCUGGGAAUGUUGCAUUUACAUGACCAUGGCGGGUUGUUUCACGUGUCUCGGGGUUCGGGGCGUGACAUCCCCGUUUAAGUGGUAUCAGAGCAGGUCUGUGAAUGGAGUGAUAAGGUGCGAUUGUUAUUGGGAUAGUUAGUAGGAAUGGCUUUUAUUUUAUGCUGGUGCAUGUGUCUGAUAGUUGUUUGGUAAAUUGGUUGGUGAUGAUCACUCAAAUUCUAAUAUGGGAUUAGAAUUGAGAAACAGGUUUCUGUAAGGAUCCUGUAGUUGAGUGAUCAAGAGCAGAGUUCUCCUUGAGAGAGAACCUUUAGACCAAUUACUCGGGGUGGUAUGCCGAUAGGGAUCGGUACCCGAGGUGGUCGUGGCGAAGCGCCGGCUUAGACCAGCGCGUGUGUGAGAGUACUGCUGCAGGUCGGUACUAGCGUAGCAGCACCGAGCGAUCCUAGGUUUGAUGUGAUCGUCCAGGCGCUAGUGUUCCUUGGAAGCUUGUUAGGUCAGUAAGCUCAGGACCGAGCCGCCGCUGUUGCCGAUGUUGCUACCGCCGCCAGUGUUGUAACCGUUGUUAUUGUCGUGCCUGUUGAGGCCUAGCCUGGAGUUGUGAUAUGGGAGCAAGUCGUUGCAUCCGAGUCGAGGUUCAUAAUCAGUAAAGAUGGAAACUAGUUUGGGAACGAGUCUAUGAUCGGAGAAAAGUAUCCCAUUUCCGUCCAACUGGAAAGGUGGAAUGGUUAAGUCAGCAAUGAAUUAGAUUGGAGUGUGUCGUGUUGACAGAAGCCGAUAUGGAUCAGCCUCGUGUCCUGGUAGGAUAGGUGCUUGUUCUGAGUGUGACCAACAUGGUUACCUAGCCAGGAACGGUCUUAGAAAGCCGAUGGGACAGAUUGAAAGGAAUGCGCCAUAGAACGCAUCGUGGGGUUUUUGGAACAAGCCUUUAGUACAAGAAAGAGCCCAUGCUGUCACCUAACGGUAGGCAGGGGACUCACUAAUUGUGUGUUAAGUUUGAGAAAAGAAGUGUGAGUCAGCCUGGUGAGAGCAUGCUUUGAAUGUGGCCGGCAUGGCCAUUGGGCUAGGAACUGUCCGUGUAAGUCCAAAAGGGCUCGAGCAUCGCUACCGCUGACAGGAUUCCAUUAGGAUGGCUAGAGGAGCAUGAAGGGAUCGACCAUGCAUCAAUCAGAAGGAGAAUGUUUCUGAGAUGUUUUUAUCAGAGUAGUGCAACAAAAUUUUCAGCGAGGGUUGUAGGAUUUCCGGAUUGGUAGCAAAGUAAUAGAAAUAUGAAUCUCUGACUAUAGUUGUACUUGAAGGGGGUUUGCUUAAGUAUGACUUGGAAGUCAUUUAUGAAAGGGUUUGACUCAAUGAGCUUUCUGUUGUUUUGAAUCGUGGUAGUAAUAUAAUUCAGUUUGUUCAGAUAGCGUGUGAAGGUCUUGAAUCACUGAAAGUUGAAGAGGAACUUCAAUUCUUGUUAUUCAUCACUGAAGAUGACUUGGUUCAAGUUGUUGGUUAUCGAAUCUACAUGGCAGAUGUAAUGGAUGCGUUAAUUGAUGAGCCGAAUAUGGAAAAUAUAAUUGUGGUACAUAAGUUUUCUGAGGUGUUCAUGAAGAUUUGUUAGGUUUGCUAUCAGAAAGAGAAAUUGAGUUCAUGAUUGAAUUAACAUCCAGAACAGAGCCAGUCCUUAAGGCUCCUUACUGAAUGGUGUUACCCGAGUUAAAAGAAAUGAAGGUGCAGAUGCAGGAAUGGUGGAACAGGGGAUUCAUACAUUCCAGUGCAUCACCUUGGGGAGCACUCGUUCUAUUCGUGAAGAAGAAAGUUGGUUCGUUGUGUUUAUACAUCGAUAAUCUUCAAGGUCGAUUGGAGGUCAGGGUAUCAUCAGUUGAGGAUCAGGAAGAAAGACAUACCGAAGUUAGCAUCUCGCACUCGAUAUGGUAGUUAUGAGUUCAUUGUAAUACCGUGUGGUUUGACAGGCACCUUAGCUAUUUGUUUGGGUCUAAUGAGCAGAAUGUUUAAGAGUACUUGAAUCAGUUGUGAUCGUGCUUAGUGAAGUUAUCCUGGGGUGUUCAAAGAAUGCUGAGGAGCACAAGAGACAUUAGAAGAUGAUACUUCAGACCUUGAGGACUCUUGAAUCUUACGCUAAGUUUAGCAAGUGCGGGUUUUGGGUGAUUCGUAUUGCGUUCCUAGAUCACCUGUUUUCAGGCAAAGAAAUCUCUAUAGACCCUGUCUAAGAUUGAAGCAGUGAACAGUUGGCCGAGAUUGUCUACAGUGACAGAGAUCAGAAGUUUCUGGGGAUUAGCAGGAUAUUUCAGACAGUUUGUAAAAGGGUUUUUAGCGUUAGCGUUACCAUUGAUAAGACUAUUAAGGAAGUAAGAAAAGUUCGUGUGGACAGAUGAGUGCGAGCGUAGUUUUCAAGGGCCUAAGAAGAGGCUAACUACCGCACUUGUGCUUACUAGUCCAUCUGGUCUAGGAGGGUUGAAAUCUACGGUGAUGCGUCGUUUAAAUGAUUGGGUUGUGUGUUGAUACAACAUGAUAUGGUUGUUGCAUAUGCGUCCCAUUGGUUGAGACCUCGGGAGUUGAAUAUGAGACAGCGUCGCUGGAUGGAGCUUAUUAAGGAUUAUGACUAUGAUAUUUUGUAUCACUCGGGAAAGGUGAGCAAAGUCGCAGAUGCACUGAGUCGAGAGUCCUUAGUUGCACAGUUGGUACUCAAGGAUUGGGUCUUAUUUGAGAAAGUUCGAAAUUCAGUUUUCAAAUCUAAGGUAUGCCACAUUUUGAAUCUUAUGACUGCCCUCAGAAUUGAGCCGAAAGUUCAGAUCAGAAUUAAAACGCUUCAGUGGACAAAUUUAGAAAUUCAGAAGAUUCUAUAAGAGAAUGCAGAUGAGAGAGAUUGAUUUUCAGAUUUCCGAAGGCAGAACGCUAAGGUUCUGAGGACGAUUGUAUGUAAUUGUCAAUACAGAGAUUAAGGAAGAGAUCUUAUGGGAAGCUCAGUGUAGCAACUUCAGCGUUAUCCAGACAGUACAAAGAUGAGUCAGAAUCUACAUCAUCGGGAUUGGUAGAUCGGUAUGGAGAUAGAUAUCGCCGAACACGUUGUAAGUGUUGGAUGUAUCAGUAAGUGAGAAAUUGGUAAUGUAAGCCAGGAAAGCUUUUUUAAGCACUUGAGAGAGUCUUGUGUGAGAAUGGAAGUAUAGCAUGAUGGAAUGUUAUGACAGGCUUAUCAAGGAGUUGGGAAGAGUAAUGAUUCCUUAUGGGGUUGUGGUUAUCGGAUGAAAGGAGUCAACUCACCUUAAUGCAGCAUGAAAAGACCUCGGUUAGAAUAGGUAUACCGAAGUGUGUGUAUAUCAUAUAAUUCAUCUGCAUAGAGUGCCGGGAAUGAAUUUUAUUCAAAUCUAGAUCAGAUGUUCCAAGUUUGCAAAGCUUUCAGAUGGUUCUUUCUUAAGCAGUGCAUAGCAGAGAGUGCAGAAUUUCAAUUGAGAUGAAGUUAGGGAGAGAAAGAUCAGGUCAAGGUCAGUACAGUGGUCAGUGAUUACAAUUGCCGAGAUCAGUGUCAGAGUUAUAUCAGAUCUUGACCAGAGGUUCUCAGUGUCAGCAAGUCAGUCAGUCAGAUAGUUUCUUGUUAAUCAGUGCAGAGCAGAGUGUACAGGAUUUCAGUCCGUUGAGAUGAGAUCAGGGAUCAAAAGAUCGCAAGUCUAGAGUUGGGUCAGAAAUCAGUGAUUUAAUUGCAAUUAUCAGAGACAGCUUAGAGAUUGCUUAGAAUCGCCAGUUUAGCUUCGCGGAUUUUGUGUUGAAGACUUUUGGAAUUUUUAGUGGGCAAGUGUUUAGUAUUUUGUAUCCGAAUUGGUUUGGGCAAGACAGUAGUGAUCUGGCAGCAUUGGUACAAAAGGAGCAACCUGAGAAAGAGAAGAAGAUAUGAGACGACUGUACCCCCACCUUAUUGUUAAGAAUUGGUAAAGGUUUAAAUUUCGAGGACGGAAUUUUUGUAAGAGAGGAAGAGUUGUGACAUCCAGAUUUUCGGGUUUUAAUUUUUACUGGAUAAAUAGGGCCGUUUUCGUUCAAUUGAAGCCAGAGAUUGCAAAAUUGGGAUGCAAGUACGCCAUAGUGGUAAGGAAAAAUACCAAUUUAAUUGAUGAGGUGUUGAAUGAAUUAAUGGAGGUCAAUUUGAUUUAAUUCAAGUGGGAUUAAGACUCAAUUGAAAGGGAAUCAAGUGGAAUUGGAGAAUUGGUUGUACAAAAUUUCAUGCCCCGACGGAAAAAUAAAAUGGACCCAUUGGAGAAUUGUUGUGGAAGCUUGGUGUGAGUGGAAGAUGACCUCAUGUGAGGUCAUGGUGGGCCAUGUGUGAGGGAUUAAAGAAAAAGAGAAAGAAAAAGAAAAGUGCCCCCCCUCCUUCUCUCUCCUCCCUCUCUUCUUCCUCUCGCCUGUGCGAUUCCUCCAUGGACAUUUUCUUCUUCUUCCUCGGACGCUUCCAGCAGCUCGACGCCUCGCUUCGUCCGCCCGUCCGACCGCCGACAGCUUCACCCGUCGCCGCCAGCUCGCCGCCGGAGCCGCCGCGGUCGUCGCCGUCGCCGUGCGUUCGCUCGAAGCCCUCGCGCCCGCUUCGCCUAGCUCGCGCUAGCCCACGCCGUCGUCGCUCUCCGUUGUCGUCGCCGCCGUGAGCCACCACCGGUCGCCGCCCGAGCUACCGCCGCCCCUCUCCGCCGUUCCUCGCGCCCGAACCGCCGUCGAGCAGCCUCCGUCGGCCUCAACCAGAAGUUGCAGAAAAUGGGUAUGGCAGCCCCUUCUUGGCCCGUUUCGGCCGCCUUCCCGAGCCCGGAUGCUCGGCCCGCUUUGAGGAAAGUUGUUCUCCUCGGUGUCCCCGUCGUUUUGGUCCGCUCGGCUCGCUAAUCCGGUGAGUUUAACUCACUAAAUCUUGAUUAGAGUGUUAAUGAUGCCUUAAGUGUGCUUAGUUUAAAUUAAGUAAGUUUAUGUGGGUGGAUUAGGGUAUUUAAUUAUAAAUUGGAUUAAGAGGUUGGUUUAUGUUAAAGUGUGUUUAAAUUAAAGGUUAAAAGAAGUUAUUUAAAGUUAAGCCUUGAUGUGACAUAAAAAUGAUUUUAGUUUUGAAUUAUUUAAGUGCUUCGAAAUUCUGGAAAAUAUAAUAUUAUUUUAUAAUCCGAAAUUAUUAAAAUAUUAUUAAAAAAAAACGAAAAAAAUUAUUUUUGACCCCGGUUGCUCAGAAUUUCGUGCCGAUCGCUGCUGUGUAUUCGGAUUUUGAAAUUGAUGGUUGGAUAUCAUAAAUUGAGGGUGGAUUGCGAAAAGUAUGGAUAUUAUUAUUUAAUUAAUUUUCGGAAUAAAAUUUAUUAUUUAUUAAAAUUCAAAAAUUUCGUCGGGACCCUAAACUCUCAGAAUUUCGUGCCGAUCGUUGCUGUGUAUUUAGAAUUUGAAUUUGAUGAUUGAUUGUGGCAAAUUGAGUGUUGAUUGUGAUAAAUAUGGAUUUUAUUCAUAAAAUUCCAAGUGUCGAGUUCGGCAUUGAAAUUGGAUUGUUAAUGGCUAAUAUCGUAAUUGGAUUAUGUGAGUGAAAUGUAAAGUAUCCAAGGAUCGGUAUCGAAUUGUCGUGUGCUAGUUGAAAGGCUCGGGUCGCAGUAGUGGCUAGGCCGACUGGAUCCUUAUUCUUCUAGAAAUGCUGUCGAUAGAACGACGUGGCUUGAUCGCAGUAGUGGCGAGAUCGACUGGACCUUUAUUUUUCUAGAAAUGCUGUCGAUAGAACGACGUGGCAUGGUCGCAGUAGUGGCGAGACCGACUGGACCUUUAUUUUUCUAGAAAUGCUGUCGAUAGAACGACGUGACUUGGUCGCAGUAGUGGCGAGACCGACUGGACCUUUAUUCUUCUAGAAAUGCCGUCAAGAGAAUGACGUGGCUUGGUCGCAGUAGUGGCGAGACCGACUGGACCUUUUAUUCUCCUAAAAAUGCCAUCGAUAGAAUGACGUGGCUUGGUCGCAGUAGUGGCGGGACCGACUGGACCUUUAUUCUUCUCGAAAUGCCGUGAUGUUAAUAGAUAGCCGACCUGUGAGUAGACUAUGCCCUCGUGUGGCAGUGAAUAAUAAUUGGAAUGCGUGCUAAGUGCGAUCGUGAUUUAUAUGAAAGUGAUGGCGUUCCAAUUGUUUGAAUUAUUAUUACUACCUGAGAUUAUGUGAUACAAAUUGUGCUAACCUGCAGAAAGGAAUUGAGGCGAGGUAAGUCCCCUGUGUGAUGUGGCUAGGCCACCCUUGGGCGUAUUUUCUUUCUAAUAGGGGUUUAAGGGGUUGAACUUGCUGAGACAUUGUCUCAGUGGUUAUUAAAUAACCAUUUCAGGUCCCUGGUGGACGGAGCGGCCAGAUAGCUUUGGUUGGCCUUGAGGAGUUGGAGAGGUGAAGUCAUAAGGAUUGGAGAUCGUGU